rnacentral:sRNA from 1 species
CCGCCAGUAAAAUACUGUGGGUUUCUGGCGUUUUCUUCUGAAGCUGAAUUUAUAUCCUACCGUUUCUUUGGGGUAUUCCGAUCCAAAGA